rnacentral:rRNA from 1 species
UACAGAGGGCUCAAGCGUUAAUCGGAAUCACUGGGCUUAAAGGGUCCGCAGGCGGAUUGGAAAGUAUCUUGUGAAAUACCAACCGGCUCAACCGUGGAACUGCUCGGUAAACUUCCAAUCUUGAACACGGUAGGGGCCAUCGGAACUCGUAGGUGGAGCGGUGAAAUGCGUAGAUAUCUAGAGGAACGCCAGAGGCGAAGGCGGAGUGGCCUGGGCCGUUGUUGACGCUCAGGGACGAAAGCAUGGGUAGCGGAACGGGAUUAGAUACCCCGGUAGUCC